AGGUGGGGUAACGGCUCACCUAGGCGACGAUCCCUAGCUGGUCUGAGAGGAUGACCAGCCACACUGGAACUGAGACACGGUCCAGACUCCUACGGGAGGCAGCAGUGGGGAAUAUUGCACAAUGGGCGCAAGCCUGAUGCAGCCAUGCCGCGUGUGUGAAGAAGGCCUUCGGGUUGUAAAGCACUUUCAGCGGGGAGGAAGGCGGUGAGGUUAAUAACCUUGGCGAUUGACGUUACCCGCAGAAGAAGCACCGGCUAACUCCGUGCCAGCAGCCGCGGUAAUACGGAGGGUGCAAGCGUUAAUCGGAAUUACUGGGCGUAAAGCGCACGCAGGCGGUCUGUCAAGUCGGAUGUGAAAUCCCCGGGCUCAACCUGGGAACUGCAUUCGAAACUGGCAGGCUAGAGUCUUGUAGAGGGGGGUAGAAUUCCAGGUGUAGCGGUGAAAUGCGUAGAGAUCUGGAGGAAUACCGGUGGCGAAGGCGGCCCCCUGGACAAAGACUGACGCUCAGGUGCGAAAGCGUGGGGAGCAAACAGGAUUAGAUACCCUGGUAGUCCACGCCGUAAACGAUGUCGAUUUGGAGGUUGUGCCCUUGAGGCGUGGCUUCCGGAGCUAACGCGUUAAAUCGACCGCCUGGGGAGUACGGCCGCAAGGUUAAAACUCAAAUGAAUUGACGGGGGCCCGCACAAGCGGUGGAGCAUGUGGUUUAAUUCGAUGCAACGCGAAGAACCUUACCUGGUCUUGACAUCCACAGAACUUUCCAGAGAUGGAUUGGUGCCUUCGGGAACUGUGAGACAGGUGCUGCAUGGCUGUCGUCAGCUCGUGUUGUGAAAUGUUGGGUUAAGUCCCGCAACGAGCGCAACCCUUAUCCUUUGUUGCCAGCGGUCCGGCCGGGAACUCAAAGGAGACUGCCAGUGAUAAACUGGAGGAAGGUGGGGAUGACGUCAAGUCAUCAUGGCCCUUACGACCAGGGCUACACACGUGCUACAAUGGCAUAUACAAAGAGAAGCGACCUCGCGAGAGCAAGCGGACCUCAUAAAGUAUGUCGUAGUCCGGAUUGGAGUCUGCAACUCGACUCCAUGAAGUCGGAAUCGCUAGUAAUCGUAGAUCAGAAUGCUACGGUGAAUACGUUCCCGGGCCUUGUACACACCGCCCGUCACACCAUGGGAGUGGGUUGCAAAAGAAGUAGGUAGCUUAACCUUCGGGAGGGCGCUUACCACUUUGUGAUUCAUGACUGGGGUGAAGUCGUAACAAGGUAACCGUAGGGGAACCUGCGGUUG
rnacentral:rRNA from 1 species